rfam:Anncaliia algerae PRA339 unplaced genomic scaffold supercont2.32, whole genome shotgun sequence.
GCGACAAUAGCUCAGUUGGGAGAGCGUCAGACUGAAGAUCUGCAGGUCGUGAGUUCGAUCCUCACUUGUCGCA